AGAGUUUGAUCCUGGCUCAGAAUGAACGCUGGCGGCGUGCCUAAGACAUGCAAGUCGUACGUGAAAGUAGCAAUAUGAGUACAGUGGCGCACGGGUGAGUAAUAAUUGGAUAAUGCGCCUCCUCGCUGGGGAUAACCAGGCGAAAGCUUGGCUAAUACCGAAUAGUUCGGUCGAAACGUAGGUUUUGAUCGAUAAAGCCGUAAGGCGCGGGGAGAGUAGUCCAAAUCUCAUUAGCUUGUUGGUGGGGUAAAAGCCUACCAAGGCGACGAUGGGUAGCUGGUCUGAGAGGAUGAUCAGCCACACUGGUACUGGAACACGGACCAGACUCCUACGGGAGGCAGCAGCUGGGAAUUUUGCGCAAUGGGGGAAACCCUGACGCAGUAACGCCGCGUGAGUGAGGAAGGCCUUCGGGUUGUAAAGCUCUUUCAGUAGGGAAGAAACAAAUGACGGUACCUACAGAAGAAGCACCGGCUAACUCCGUGCCAGCAGCCGCGGUAAUACGGAGGGUGCAAGCGUUAUUCGGAUUUACUGGGCGUAAAGAGCGUGUAGGCGGUUUAGUUAGUCCGAUGUGAAAGCCCCUGACUCAAUCAGGGAAGUGCAUUGGAUACUGCUAGGCUUGAGUGCAGGAGAGGAGAGCGGAAUUCCUGGUGUAGAGGUGAAAUUCGUAGAUAUCAGGAGGAACAACAGCGGCGAAGGCGGCUCUCUGGAUUGUAACUGACGCUGAGGCGCGAAAGCGUGGGGAGCAAACAGGAUUAGAUACCCUGGUAGUCCACGCCGUAAACGAUGGACACUAAAUGUCGGAAGUUCUUACCCUUCCGGUGUCGUCGCUAAUGCAUUAAGCUUCCCGCCUGGGGAGUACGGCCGCAAGGUUAAAACUCAAAGAAAUUGACGGGGGCCCGCACAAGCGGUGGAGGAUGUUGUUUAAUUCGAUGAUACGCGAAAAACCUUACCUGGGCUUGACAUCCUGGGCUAUCCGGUGAAAGUCGGAGUUCCCUUCGGGGACGCCAAGACAGGUGCUGCAUGGCUGUCGUCAGCUCGAGUCGUGAGAUGUUUGGUUAAGUCCAGCAACGAGCGCAACCCCUGUGAAUAGUUGCCAGCACGUCAUGGUGGACUCUAAUGGGACCGCUUGCCGAUAACGGGGAGGAAGGUGGGGACGACGUCAAGUCAGUAUGGCCCUUACGGCCAGGGCUGCACACGUACUACAAUGCCCGAAACAGAAGGAUCCGAGACCGCGAGGUGGAGGAAAUCACGAAAUUCGGGCCCAGUUCGGAUUGGAGGCUGCAACUCGCCUCCAUGAAGCCGGAAUCGCUAGUAAUGGCGCAUCAGCUACGGCGCCGUGAAUACGUUCCCGGGUCUUGUACACACCGCCCGUCACAUCAUGGGAGUCGUUUGUACCCGAAGUGCGCGCGCCAACCGCAAGGAGGCAGCGCCCUAAGGUAUGAGCGGUAACUGGGAUGAAGUCGUAACAAGGUA
rnacentral:rRNA from 1 species